GGGAGUGCGGUGGUGAUCAAUGGGCCUAGUCCAGAAGACUCUGUCUGUAUGUCCCAUAGGGAGGUCACAAAGAAGUCCUUAUUGAGAGCAGAUAUCUGGACUCACCACAUUCAGUAACUGGGAGGGAGCUGAGAACUGGAAAUUUGAGUCAAAGAAGCUGAAGGAGGAGAUUCAGCAGGAGCUGGACUUCCAACAGAUCUUCUGGGUCUAAUAAGGGGGAUAAAAUGGGAAUCCAGAGGUUAGGUGAAGAGGCACUCUCAGGGGAAAGAAAAUACAGUGGUCUAGUCCAAUGCCGCUGUAGCCUGAUAACUGGACUUCAAG